UGCCAGCAGCCGCGGUAAUACUGAAGGUGCAAGCGUUAACCGGAAUCACUGGGCGUAAAGCGCUCGUAGGCGGGUUAAUAAGUCAGAUGUGAAAGACAAUAGCCCAACUAUUGAACUGCAUUUGAAACUGUAAACCUAGAAUAUGGGAGAGGUAGAUGGAAUUUCUGGUGUAGGGGUAAAAUCCGUAGAGAUCAGAAGGAAUACCGAUUGCGAAGGCGACUUCCUGGACUAUUACUGACACUGAGGAGCGAAAGCGUGGGGAGCAAACAGGAUUAGAUA
rnacentral:rRNA from 1 species